rnacentral:lncRNA from 1 species
CUGCUUUUUCUGCAUUUAUCUGUUUUCAGAGAUAUUCUCUUCCAUUUUUUUCGGAAGAUUCACUGCUCUCUACCUCCUGAGGAGCUUCUGGUUGAAGAGUUGUCAACGAAUAUACUGAGAGGUCAAAGUCUGAAAGUGCAUUUAUCUGAUUUACUUGAUUUUUUCUGCUUUUCUGCAUUUAUCUGUUUCAGAGAUAUUCUCUUCCAUUUUUUCGGAAGAUUCACUGCUCUCUACCUCCUGAGGAGCUUCUGGUUGAAGAGUUGUCAACGAAUAUACUGAGAGGUCAAAGUCUGAAAGAUUUGGUGACACAGAGGGGCUUUGGAGGAUCUGGGCCCUCUCAGUUGUAUCCAAUAGUGGAUUUACUGUGUGCACUGUACUGGGUACCAUGGGGAACAAAGAAAGCAGGCCAGUGGCCUUCGGGGCGUCAGCUUCCGAAGGGGCAAGAGGAGAGAAAAGUUCCUGUGACAGAUGAUUUGUAAUCUCAUCUAAAUCUUCCAGUCUAUUCCCCUGUGCAGGAGUCAACUGAUCCUCAUCAUCAUCAUCAUCGUCCUCAAAAUCCACUAGGAGAUUUUUUUCAGAAUGCUCUGUAACGACUGAUGGUUUUUUUUGGCUCUGCUCUGUCAGGUGUUUUUCUUCUCUUUCCUUUUCCCACGAGGGGACUGUACGGGGGCCUGUAUAGGGGGGCUCAAAGGUGGAAAAUCAUCUCCCAAAAGCCAGUCAUUUCUCAUGGGAGACCAGCCUGACAUUAAAAGAUAUUCUCUUCCAUUUUUUCGGAAGAUUCACUGCUCUCUACCUCCUGAGGAGCUUCUGGUUGAAGAGUUGUCAACGAAUAUACUGAGAGGUCAAAGUCUGAAAGAUUUGGUGACACAGAGGGGCUUUGGAGGAUCUGGGCCCUCUCAGUUGUAUCCAAUAGUGGAUUUACUGUGUGCACUGUACUGGGUACCAUGGGGAACAAAGAAAGCAGGCCAGUGGCCUUCGGGGCGUCAGCUUCCGAAGGGGCAAGAGGAGAGAAAAGUUCCUGUGACAGAUGAUUUGUAAUCUCAUCUAAAUCUUCCAGUCUAUUCCCCUGUGCAGGAGUCAACUGAUCCUCAUCAUCAUCAUCAUCGUCCUCAAAAUCCACUAGGAGAUUUUUUCAGAAUGCUCUGUAACGACUGAUGGUUUUUUUGGUCUCUGCUCUGUCUAGGUUGGAAAGAUUUGGUGACACAGAGGGGCUUUGGAGGAUCUGGGCCCUCUCAGUUGUAUCCAAUAGUGGAUUUACUGUGUGCACUGUACUGGGUACCAUGGGGAACAACGAAAUUCCGUAUAACUUCGGUACUUAAGUGUAAUGCUAGUACGAAAGUUAUUACGAAAGAUUUGGUGACACAGAGGGGCUUUGGAGGAUCUGGGCCCUCUCAGUUGUAUCCAAUAGUGGAUUUACUGUGUGCACUGUACUGGGUACCAUGGGGAACAAAGAAAGCAGGCCAGUGGCCUUCGGGGCGUCAGCUUCCGAAGGGGCAAGAGGAGAGAAAAGUUCCUGUGACAGAUGAUUUGUAAUCUCAUCUAAAUCUUCCAGUCUAUUCCCCUGUGCAGGAGUCAACUGAUCCUCAUCAUCAUCAUCAUCGUCCUCAAAAUCCACUAGGAGAUUUUUUUCAGAAUGCUCUGUAACGACUGAUGGUUUUUUUUGGCUCUGCUCUGUCAGGUGUUUUUUCUUCUCUUUCCUUUUCCCACGAGGGGACUGUACGGGGGCCUGUAUAGGGGGGCUCAAAGGUGGAAAAUCAUCUCCCAAAAGCCAGUCAUUUCUCAUGGGAGACCAGCCUGACAUUAAAAGUGGGUGAUGUUUGUACCUGGAUAUGUGUGACCCCUGUUUUAGGUCUGACCACCUCUGUACUGAUCAUUUCUGUCCCCUGCUGGACUGGGGCUGGAGUUACACCACUGACCACCUGAGCAAAUGUUCUGUUGUUAUCUGCCCCAGAAGCUGAUGGUCCUUUUGACCCAGAGGGAGUCCCAGAGCGCAAUUCGGUCAGGACCAAAGUUUCGGCCUGCUGAAUUGCCCUCUGGGAGAUCCUCUUGCCGAAAUUUCGCAUAGCCCAUUUAACAGCAAUCUACAAAGGCAUGUAACCAGUCCGUUCUCUGUGUUUCUUCCAGCAUUCUUUUGUGGACAUUCUGUAUAAUGUCCUCAUAGUGUUGCUGUAACACCAACUGUGUCGUGAAUGCCCAAUUCCUUGCAUUGCCCUCCAGCAUUUCUUUUGUGGACAUUGUGGGGGCAAAGGGUUUUAUCACGCUCUUCAGUAAUUCAGUUAAUCUCUUCAAAGUGACAGGUUGAUUAUUCUCGACACGUGUGUCGAUGUUACUGAGGUGAUGGACCGAUCGGAUCAGAUGAUACAUAUUUUUGAUCACAUUCCGAAAUGUGGGAGAAGCAGGAGAGUAUUUUGAUUUUUCUGUGUAGUUAAGAAAUAGAAGUUUUCUGCCCAUUCUUUUUUCUGAUGAGUAAGUGCAAACUGUACAUUUCUUUGUGCAGAAAUUCACGUCUCCCGUUUUCUCCCGUUAUGAGGAAAAUAUCGUGUGUUACUGUUUCUCUGCUCCAUAAAUCCAUUCUCUUCUGUGGGGUAAAUAAUCCUAUUAACCCCAAAAGUUACUCUCUUUCGUGUCUGUUUAAAUCUCCCCUGAUUUAAAGGGCGUUGAUCACGUGACGGACGAGAGAAGGGAUUUGCAUUAAUCUCCGAUCGAGUUUCAUUGUGUACUCUGUUACUGUAACCUAUGGAUGAUUCUUCGUGUCCGUUGACUUCGUACGGGAAGUCACGAGAUCGCUCAACAAAAUAAUCGUCCCUCCUAAAUCGUCCCCGUCGGGGGAAAUCCCUUUUAUUUUUAUGGGGGCUCAAGCGCAUCCGAGGGGUCGUGAAACGACUCUUGUCUUGAAAGACGAAUACCAUCCUUAAUUUUAUGAACGAUCAAAUCCACAAUUGUAUAUUGUUUUUUUUGUCUUUCUUUCGAUUUUUUAUAUUUUUUUGGCUUUUUGUAUUUUUUUAACUUUUUUUGGGGUUUUAUUGUGUUUUUUUAUAAAAGAGAACAAUCUGAAAUGAACCAAUAUUGAAUCUGUGAUUAUAUAUGACCAUCAAAUGAAAUGAAAUGAAAUGAAAUGAAAUGAAAUAAAAUAAAAAUUCAAAAAAAAUAUUUUAUAUAUAUAUAUUCUUUGUGUUCAAGCCAAUAUCGCGACGUUUCGAUACUAUGAUGUAUCUUCUUCAGGCAGGCUUGAACUAUUUAUUUUAACUGUGUACUUUGAGAAUCACAAUAUUCGUGCUACUUAAUCACUAUCCGAGAUGUUACUGCAAGCAGUCAAACAAUCCUUCUGAUUCCAGCUCCGUUUCGUCCGGUAUAUCAGAGUAAGCUGAUGACGUCAUCGACACGUCAUCCUCCAAUCCUUUCAAACCAAUACAGGAUUCAAACCAAAAGAGCACGUGAUGCCUUAUCAAUCCAAACCGUGCAUGUUGCCGUUAUUUUUUCAAUUUGAACGAUGCACGUUGCUUUUUCAAAUUUGAAUAAUGCAGCUCCUCAGUCUGCAUGUAUCAAAAAAAAUUUUAUUAAAAAAAUAUUAAAUUAUUCAAUAAUUAUUAUACAUCCUCCAAGUGUGCUCUAAGUGGUUAUAAAUCAUGUUUUUUCAAUCCUCUAUGACCCUCACAACG